UACGAAGGGGGCUAGCGUUGCUCGGAAUCACUGGGCGUAAAGGGCGCGUAGGCGGCCGUUUAAGUCGGGGGUGAAAGCCUGUGGCUCAACCACAGAAUUGCCUUCGAUACUGGACGGCUUGAGACCGGAAGAGGUAAGUGGAACUGCGAGUGUAGAGGUGAAAUUCGUAGAUAUUCGCAAGAACACCAGUGGCGAAGGCGGCUUACUGGUCCGGUUCUGACGCUGAGGCGCGAAAGCGUGGGGAGCAAACAGG
rnacentral:rRNA from 1 species